CGCCCCAGGGCUCUCCAACCAAAACCCUUCCUGGCCCCCUCCAUCCUAACAAAGCCUGAGUCGAACACGAAAGGAAGAUGGUCGCUGAAGCGAAGGGGAGUCAUUUGUGUCCGUUCCAUAAAUCAAGACUGUCGCCUUUCGAAAAGGGGAGGUGUCGCAGUCUGACAGCCUGAUCUGUUUCUAGGACGGCGUGUUUCCAGGAAAUUCUGAGCACAUAUAUAUGCAGGGAGCAGUCAUCGUUUUCCUCCUGUCCAGCCUUCUGCCUCCUGCUCCUCCUCUAGCUGCCUCCCUUGUUUCCAGGCUGGAGGUUCAAUCCCUCUUCACCAUCCCUGCUACCAACAAGCACACCUCUGACGGAUUCUGCCUGUGGGGCAGGCAGGAGGCCAUGUCCUUGUGAUGGCCGCAGUCACCACGUUCAUGGCGGUGCUAUUCACAAUGGCCACAUGUCUGUCAGCAGAGGAACACACAGGCAAAUGGUGGCUCUCCACACCAUCCAUCUCAGACAUCAAUAAACUUUCAAUACACAAUGACACCGAACAAUAUCAAAAAUAUACACUAAGAUGAUGAGAAAGAUAAAAGCCUCUGUGCAUAUAGCUGCAACUCAAGAGGAACCAAGAGCCAACAGGCAUGAGCGAGGCUCCACAAGUGACCCCAGUGAAGCCACCCCUGACCCAUCCGGCUACUUGAGCCGCCCCAGCAACCACAGGGCAGACACC
rnacentral:lncRNA from 1 species